GACGUAGGGUGCGAGCGUUGUCCGGAUUUAUUGGGCGUAAAGAGCUCGUAGGCGGCUCGUCGCGUCGACCGUGAAAACCCGCGGCUUAACUGCGGGCUUGCGGUUGAUACGGGCGGGCUAGAGUUCGGUAGGGGAGGCUGGAAUUCCUGGUGUAGCGGUGAAAUGCGCAGAUAUCAGGAGGAACACCGGUGGCGAAGGCGGGUCUCUGGGCCGAUACUGACGCUGAGGAGCGAAAGCGUGGGGAGCGAACAGG
rnacentral:rRNA from 1 species